AUGGCCCGUCUCAAACAUGUGCGUCCAAAUAGGAGCAGAGGAGCUGGUUCGGGGGGGAAAGUAAACGUCGCAGCCCCCGAGUCGAGAGUGAGCCGCAGCAUGACUCCAAUGAGGAUCUCUAGAGAUCUGCCGUCGUAUUUACAUAAAAUGCGGCGGAAUAAUGGUUUGGACCUUCAAGGAAGAGGAGUUAUGAAGCUGCAUGGAAGACGGUUCGAAGGCCGUAGAGUUUACAGUAAGGGAACAGUGACUCCCAGCACUAAGGACCCCAGCCAAGACAGCACAAGUAUGAUUAUGCCCUCUGGUGUGUCCAGCUUUUUGUUGGAUUGUAUGGAUUCGGACUCAGAAGCAGAGGACACACUUCCUUCCAUUGAGAUGGUUCGCAAAGCUGAUAGUUAUGACGAGGGCACAGCUUUGGUCAGUGAAGAUGAAAUACUGCACCGCCACAUUAAGAACUCGACUCUUCUCGACCUCAGUCAUGCGGUGGACAUAGCCAUGCAACAACCCCCAAACCUCUCCUCCAUUCUAGAGCUCUCACCUGUACUUCAUGGGCAAGCUGCAAAGGAAUGGUUUUGUCUAUCACCCUUUAGCCCCUCACCUUUGACUAAAUCAGCAUCAACCAAGAAUACAGCAGGAAGCAACUACAAAACAUUUGGAGCUGAAGAAAGGACUCCUGAAACGAAGAGGGUGGUUGUUCUUUCUCCUGUUGUGAAAAGAAGGCCUCUGACUGGACAAGACAAGCCCAUGAAAUGCAGAAAGGUGACAUUCAACGACAUUGUGAGCACACGAGACAUAACCAUGCUUAAGCCUCAAAUGGAAUGUCAGAGCCGAGCCUGUGAUGUGCAGAAGGCUGAACUGAGAGGGAACACAGUGAUUGGCGAGAGGGAAGAGUUAAUGGAGCCCCAGGAGCUUUCCUCAGAGACAGCCAAGUUUUUUGACUUUGCUGAUGAAAGUGAGAAGCAACUUUUCUUCCAAAGAUUGAAAAGGACUUGCACCUUCCACUUCCCGACCAAACCGAUAACCUUCACAGACUUUCCCCAGACUGAGGAUGUCAGAAGCUAAGUUUAUGACUUCAGGACAGAAGACUGAUGCACCAUGAGUUGAGAGUUCAGUGGAGUCCGACUCUAAACAUGGAGAGAACAUUUAUUUGUGAUUUAAAAAGUUGACGGCGCUUCCUAAGAGAAACUCUUCUCUACUGUAAUUAUUGUAAAUGAUACUUUUUCAUUUGGAAACAAUACAUCGUUUUGUGUCCUGUUGUCUUGUUACGUCUUUCAUUAUCCUUAAAAUGUUUUUAAAAUGAAUCUAUAGAUGGUCAGUUGUCUUCAGUUGACUGCUGGCGCAGUGGUGUCGUUGUGAAGAAAAGAAUUUCCUGUAAGAGAAAAUUAAAUGACUAAGAUGAAUAAAUAGAAUUAUAAAAUUAACCCCCAGCAAUUGUUUUUUUUUUCUUGGAAACCAUAAAAAGCAUGGUGUUUUUAUAUAUUUUGUAGAUGGAUUUUGGGGAAAUGUGGGGGAAAAUUGCAAACAGACUUUUAGAAAUAAAGGUACAGUGCAGGUACUUUUUCUUUUUCAAGGUACAAACAAUGUAAAUGUACCACAAAGGUACAACAGUGGUUUUAAGGUCCAAGUGUUUUCGUAAGCUACCGUUUUAAAACAUUACAAAAUAAAAUAAAUAGCCUGG
ensembl:lncRNA